AAAAGAUGACGGUUAAGACCUCGUCUCUUCUUUCUUACCCAGUGUUUGCUAGAAUUAGGCGGGGCCUUGCCGUGAUUGAUGAAUGCUACCUGGUUGAUCCUGCCAGUAGUCAUAUGCUUGUCUCAAAGAUUAAGCCAUGCAUGUGUAAGUAUGAACGAAUUCAGA
rnacentral:rRNA from 1 species